ensembl:misc_RNA Metazoa_SRP Metazoan signal recognition particle RNA
GCCGGGCAUGGUGGCUCAUGCCUGUAAUCCCAGUACUUUGGGAGGCUGAGACGGGUGGAUCACCUGAGGUCAGGAGUUUGAGACCAGCCUGGCCAACACGGUGAAAGUCCGUCUCUA